rnacentral:rRNA from 1 species
ACGAACGCUGGCGGCAGGCUUAACACAUGCAAGUCGAACGGGUGUAGCAAUACAUCAGUGGCGCACGGGUGAGUAACGCGUGGGAACAUGCCCCUUAGUACGGGACAACGUCGGGAAACUGACGCUAAUACCGUAUAAUAUCUCCGGAUCAAAGAUUUAUCGCUGAGGGAGUGGCCCGCGUCUGAUUAGCUAGUUGGUGAGGUAAUGGCUCACCAAGGCUACGAUCAGUAGCAGGUCUGAGAGGAUGAUCUGCCACACUGGGACUGAGACACGGCCCAGACUCCUACGGGAGGCAGCAGUUAGGAAUAUUGGACAAUGGGCGAAAGCCUGAUCCAGCCAUGCCGCGUGUGUGAUGAAGGCCUUAGGGUUGUAAAGCACUUUCGUUGGGGAUGAUAAUGACCGUACCCAAAGAAGAAGCACCGGCUAACUUCGUGCCAGCCGCCGCCGUAA